rnacentral:rRNA from 1 species
GACGAACCGUGCUAACGUUGUUCGGAAUCACUGGGCUUAAAGGGCGCGUAGGCGGGCACGUAAGUCAGGGGUGAAAGCCCCCGGCUCAACUGGGGAGGGUCACUCGAUACUGAUCGACUUGAAGGCAGGAGAGGGAAGCGGAAUUCCCGGUGUAGUGGUGAAAUGCGUAGAUAUCGGGAGGAACACCAGUGGCGAAGGCGGCUUCCUGGCCUGUUCUUGACGCUGAGGCGCGAAAGCUAGGGGAGCAAACGGG